AUGAUCAGCAUCAUCAGCUACUGCACCUUCCUAAAACAAAGGAAACUUAUCCACAAGCCAAUUACAAAGCGCCUGAAAUUAAUCCCUAGUUGGGAGGGGAUGGUUAACCGUCGGGUUCCUAAAGUGAAUCUGCAAGGUCUUCAUCCAAGCUUGCAUAUGCAUGAAGGAUCUUUGAGUAUCCUCCAUCAUAUCCCAGAUGUAGUUGCAAAUUUACCUCUUGCUUGGAUCAUAAUCAUCAUAGUUUAG